rnacentral:tRNA from 1 species
GCGGACGUGGCGAAACUGGUAAACGCAUGGGGCUUAAAACCCCACGGCCCCUGGGCCUUGCGGGUUCAAGUCCCGCCGUCCGCACCA